GACGAACGCUGGCGGCGUGCUUAACACAUGCAAGUCGAACGAUGAAGCCUAGCUUGCUAGGUGGAUUAGUGGCGAACGGGUGAGUAAUACGUGAGUGACCUACCUUUGACUCUGGGAUAAGCCUGGGAAACUGGGUCUAAUACCGGAUACGACCAAUCUCUGCAUGGGGUGUUGGUGGAAAGCGUUAUGGAGUGGUUUUAGAUGGGCUCACGGCCUAUCAGCUUGUUGGUGAGGUAAUGGCUUACCAAGGCGACGACGGGUAGCCGGCCUGAGAGGGUGACCGGCCACACUGGGACUGAGACACGGCCCAGACUCCUACGGGAGGCAGCAGUGGGGAAUAUUGCACAAUGGGCGCAAGCCUGAUGCAGCGACGCCGCGUGAGGGAUGACGGCCUUCGGGUUGUAAACCUCUGUUAGCAUCGAAGAAGCGAAAGUGACGGUAGGUGCAGGGAAAGCGCCGGCUAACUACGUGCCAGCAGCCGCGGUAAUACGUAGGGCGCGAGCGUUGUCCGGAAUUAUUGGGCGUAAAGAGCUUGUAGGCGGUUGGUCGCGUCUGCUGUGAAGGCCGGGGCUUAACUCCGGUUUUGCAGUGGGUACGGGCUAACUAGAGUGCAGUAGGGGAGACUGGAAUUCCUGGUGUAGCGGUGGAAUGCACAGAUAUCAGGAGGAACACCGAUGGCGAAGGCAGGUCUCUGGGCUGUAACUGACGCUGAGAAGCGAAAGCAUGGGGAGCGAACAGGAUUAGAUACCCUGGUAGUCCAUGCCGUAAACGUUGGGCACUAGGUGUGGGGGACAUUCCACGUUUUCCGCGCCGUAGCUAACGCAUUAAGUGCCCCGCCUGGGGAGUACGGCCGCAAGGCUAAAACUCAAAGGAAUUGACGGGGGCCCGCACAAGCGGCGGAGCAUGCGGAUUAAUUCGAUGCAACGCGAAGAACCUUACCAAGGCUUGACAUGCAUUAGAUCGCGUCAGAGAUGGCGUUUCCCUUCGGGGCUGGUGUACAGGUGGUGCAUGGUUGUCGUCAGCUCGUGUCGUGAGAUGUUGGGUUAAGUCCCGCAACGAGCGCAACCCUCGUUCUAUGUUGCCAGCGGUUCGGCCGGGGACUCAUAGGAGACUGCCGGGGUUAAUUCGGAGGAAGGUGGGGAUGACGUCAAAUCAUCAUGCCCCUUAUGUCUUGGGCUUCACGCAUGCUACAAUGGCCGGUACAGAGGGUUGCGAUACUGUGAGGUGGAGCUAAUCCCUUAAAGCCGGUCUCAGUUCGGAUUGGGGUCUGCAACUCGACCCCAUGAAGUCGGAGUCGCUAGUAAUCGCAGAUCAGCAACGCUGCGGUGAAUGCGUUCCCGGGCCU
rnacentral:rRNA from 1 species